rnacentral:rRNA from 1 species
CAGCAGCCGCGGUAAUGCGAAGGGUGCAAGCGUUAAUCGGAAUUACUGGGCGUAAAGCGUGCGUAGGUGGUGGUUUAAGUCCGUUGUGAAAGCCCUGGGCUCAACCUGGGAAUUGCAGUGGAUACUGGGUCACUAGAGUGUGGUAGAGGAUAGUGGAAUUUCCGGUGUAGCAGUGAAAUGCGUAGAGAUCGGAAGGAACAUCUGUGGCGAAGGCGGCCAUCUGGGACAACACUGACGCUGAGGCACGAAAGCGUGGGGAGCAAACAGGAUUAGAUACCCGCGUAGUCCCUGUCUCUUAUAA